rnacentral:rRNA from 1 species
ACGGCGAGUGAAGCGGCAAAAGCUCAAAUUUGAAACCCUCGGGAUUGUAAUUUGAAGAUUUGGCAUUGGAGAAAGCUAACCCAAGUUGCUUGGAAUAGUACGUCAUAGAGGGUGACAACCCCGUCUGGCUAACCGUUCUCCAUGUAUUGCCUUAUCAAAGAGUCGAGUUGUUUGGGAAUGCAGCUCAAAGUGGGUGGUAAACUCCAUCUAAAGCUAAAUACUGGUGAGAGACCGAUAGCGAACAAGUACUGUGAAGGAAAGGUGAAAAGAACUUUGAAAAGAGAGUGAAAUAGUAUGUGAAAUUGUUGAUAGGGAAGGAAAUGAGUGGAGAGUGGCCGAGGUUUCAGCCGCCCCUCGUGGGCGGUGUACUGCCGACGCCGAGUCAUCGAUAGCGAGACGAGGGUUACAAAUGGGAGCGCCUUUCGGGCGUUCUCCCCUUAACCC